UACGGAGAGUGCAAGCGUUGCUCGGAUUCACUGGGCGUAAAGGGUACGUAGGCGGCUCGUUAAGUCAGGUGUGGAAGCCCACGGCUUACCCGUGGAAGUGCGCUUGAUACUGGCGAGCUUGAGGCGUUGAGGGGUGGGUGGAACUCUAGGUGGAGCGGUGAAAUGCGUAGAUAUCUAGAGGAACGCCGGAGGCGAAAGCGACCCACUGGUGACGUCCUGACGCUGAGGUACGAAAGCUGGGGGAGCAAACGGG
rnacentral:rRNA from 1 species